GUUUAUUGGAACUUGGGAAGUUAGGUCUGCUGGAGAUUCAGGGAACAGCAAAGCGGAUGCUGUGGAUGAUGAUGGAGUGGAACUUGAGAAAAGUAACAUUCUUCUAAUGGGACCAACAGGCUCAGGGAAGACAUUACUUGCCAAAACCUUGGCGCGGUUUGUUAAUGUUCCUUUUGUUAUUGCAGAUGCAACUACAUUGACCCAGGCAGGAUAUGUGGGGGAAGAUGUGGAGUCCGUAUUGGGCAAGCUAUUAAUGGCUGCUGACUAUAAUGUGGCAGCUGCUCAGCAGGGCAUUGUAUACAUCGAUGAAGUUGACAAGAUCACAAAAAAGGCUGAGAGUGUUAAUAUUAGCAGAGAUGUAUCAGGUGAG
rnacentral:misc_RNA from 1 species